rnacentral:rRNA from 1 species
UGGGGAAUUUUGGACAAUGGGCGAAAGCCUGAUCCAGCAAUGCCGCGUGUGUGAAGAAGGCCUUCGGGUUGUAAAGCACUUUUGUCCGGAAAGAAAUCCUCUGGGUUAAUACCUCGGGGGGAUGACGGUACCGGAAGAAUAAGCACCGGCUAACUACGUGCCAGCAGCCGCGGUAAUACGUAGGGUGCAAGCGUUAAUCGGAAUUACUGGGCGUAAAGCGUGCGCAGGCGGUUUUGUAAGACGGAUGUGAAAUCCCCGGGCUUAACCUGGGAACUGCAUUCGUGACUGCAAGGCUAGAGUAUGGCAGAGGGGGGUAGAAUUCCACGUGUAGCAGUGAAAUGCGUAGAGAUGUGGAGGAAUACCGAUGGCGAAGGCAGCCCCCUGGGCCAAUACUGACGCUCAUGCACGAAAGCGUGGGGGAGCAAACAGGAUUCAGAUACCCUGGUAGUCCACGCCCUAAACGAUGUCAACUAGUUGUUGGGGAUUCAUUUCCUUAGUAACGUAGCUAACGCGUGAAGUUGACCGCCUGGGGAGUACGGUCGCAAGAUU